UCUCCCGUAUGAAUGCACUAUUUUUCAUAUUUUUGAAAAGCAUAUAUUCCCUGCUUUCAGAACAUAUAAAAAUUAUUUUUAAUGCCUGGCAAAGUUAUGAGAAAAUAGCAAUUUCUGGCACAUGUACGCUUUCUUACGAUUUUAUUUCUCAAUGUUUAAAUAGAUCGGCGUUUUACCAAUAUUCAUAUAUGGAAAUAGGGAAAAGUAAGUACAGCCUGUAAAAGUAAAGGAAAUUUUCUUUUUGAUGGGCCCUUAUUCGUGUUAUAAUUCUUGGUAGUUUUUAUAUUACGAUAAAAUGAAAUUGGGACAUGCUACGGGGUUUUCUUUAAAAUUAGCGACAAAACGUCGUCUCUGAAAGUGAUCGACGCACGUCGCACAAUAAAGUAGUGAAAACUAUCUGUGUUGUCCUCUAUUGGUAAAAUACUUUUUUAUACACUAAAACAAUAUACACAUAUAUGUAUCAAAUAAUCAGCCAGGUAUUCUCUGCUUUUUUUUUAAAGUAUAAAACCAUUAUUGGUAAAGUAAUAACAGUUACUCCACCUACUUGUAACUUCAUAAAACACUUGGGCUAAUGAGAAUGUUACAUCGGUAGAGUAAAUUAAAAAAAAAAAACUUCAUAUUCAAAUAUAAACGUUAUGUAAUAUUUGUUCGGAAUAGAAAUAGAUUUUUUUUUUCUGUCAAACAAAGAAAACAAAAAGAUCAGUCUGCAUAUAUUGUAUAUAUACUUUUUUUUCCGUGAUCCGGAUCGUGGCCGCGGGGUUUUCUGACUGUGUGCACGGGCAACACACGUGUUUCCGUUUCAACGAAAACAACACAACAAACGCUUGUAAUGUAUUUUACAUCUUGAAAACGACCUGAUGUCAGAUGAAGAAGUCUGAAGAUACCCUGGCCUGGAUAUCCUGUUGCAGGAUGACCCACACGAUCAUGCAUUCAGUAUAAACAUGUAAGUUGAUGUAGGCACAUAGGCCGACUAGGAAAAAAAGAAUGUUCGCGGUCAUGUUAUGAAAAAUCCGCGAUUUGAUGCCAUAAUUUUAUCGUUUCAUGAAAGAAAAUAUUUAUAUUUAAUGAUAUCUAAACCAAGUGUAUAAGACCCAAUUGUUUAUUAAGAGCUGAACAUAUCUUACAUCAAUUAAUAUUUCCUGGCCCGGCAUUAGUCAGUCUGAUUCCCCCCCCCCCCCCCUCUUUUGGGGGAGAGUAUAUCUUCACCUGACGCGCGAGUGUAAGUGGAGGGCACAGGGUUUUGACACAAUAUGAGCAAAUUGGUAUAUAUAAUAUAAUAUUAUACUAUAUGUACCAAUUUGCUCCUAUUGUGUCAAAACCCUGUGGUAGAGGGUGGAUUUAGUGUACGAUGAGAAGGGGUGGGAUGGUUUUAAUCAGACUGGGCAUUCGUGACCAUUGAUGCGUAGGCUACUUUCCAAGAUUUUUCUAUGUUUAUAAAAAAAAAAUAUCUUUCUAUGAGAAGAAAUCACAAUCUGUUAGGAAAGCAUAUAUUACAUUAUUGUAUUAUCGUAAUAAUAGAAUUUAUUACCAUAAUUGGAGUUGUUUCUUCAUAUUGUAACAGAAAUAUAAACGAAAUGUAUGUUUGGGACAAAAGGUGGGGGGGGGGUAUCAUCAAUCAAAAUCUGGUUAUGACAGGCUAUUGAAAAAUCAUUUAAUUAUAUGAUCCAUACAUAUUGGUGUGCUAUGAACUGAUGGGCAUGUGCCCACUUCUUGGAUUUCUCUAAUUUCGACUAAAUCCACACCCCAUCAGAGUACCAUGCCAGGGGAUUUAGACACUGUGUACAAUGAAGAACCAAUUUAAUUCUACUUUAAAUCAGGGGCCAUUCAAUUUCCCUCAGAGGCACAAUAUUUUCGCUGGACACUGUAUGUUUUAACCUGAAUUUCUUCAGUAUUUGCUCCCAUUUAUAUGUUGGGCAUAAUACUAACGCCUCCAUGAUGCAUUUUUGUCAAUAGGCACUCUGCUACACUCGCAAUGUAUAAUGAAAUAUUCCAUUCAUUUGAUUUCUAACACAUGUAUGUAAUAUCCCUUACUAAAUGGCACUUUAAAUAUAGGACAUCUCUAUUUUUAGAUAAAUAUGACCAGUACUUUCGUGCGAAACUGUCCCUUACUAUCAUAAAGAUUAUAUUUUGCUUUAAAAUAUAAACCAAUAAUUCUUAAUUGUGUUUUUUCAUCUUUAAAAAGGUUAUUGCCAUCCCAAUCUUUAGUGGGAAACUUCCUGGUAUCUUCCGCCAGUGACAGUUUACUGGCAAAUCCAGACAUGCAUUGGAAGCUUGUUGAUGUGGAGGACACAGGGACACCUGAUCCAAGAACUGUGGCAUUUCAUUCGGAGUGACAACCUGGCAUUCAGUUGAUAUGGGACCUGAUUAUUCAGAGAAUCGCAGAUUUUAUGAAGCUGUUUUUGACAAAAGAUUUGGUUUUCUCCAUCUGUGUUGCCACCAACCAUUAUGCUGAGAUGGUCAAAUCUAGGAGGAAGGAUUGUCAUUAUGCUUCCCAAGGAAGUUCACAACCUCUCACUGAAGAGAAACUGUACAUAUAUUACUAGUUUAAAGUACCGAUAUUGUAACAGUGAUUUCCAGUUUAAAAUGAAUAAUAAAAUGCAUUUUGAUAAGAUUACCUUUACCAAAAUUAAUCUGGCUGUGCAUCUAACACAUCUAUUAAAUGUGUAUUACAAUUACUCCUGGUAAAAUUUUAAAAGUAAUUAAAUGCAUGAUUUUCAAAGGGCCUUGAUUAUAGAAAACAUUUACAGAGCCAAUUGAGUAUUCAAAAGCUCUGAGAAAACAUCAGUAUUUGAGGUUAAGUAUAAAGAAAUCUUUUUUUUUUCCUUCAGAUUUUUGGGCAUUAUCUUAUACAUGUCUGCUGAGAAGUUCCAGUCGAUAAACAGAUAUUGGUCAAAGCAUGCCCCUAUCAGAACAACCCAGUAUCAAGAAUUAUGUCUAGAAAUAUGUUUUAAGAAGUUGAAUAUAAGAAGAACAUUUUUGUUAAAUAUAAUGCAAGUAUAUUUAAAUUUAGUGAUUGAAAGUAAGUACUUGAACAUUCGUAUACAAUGAACUUGGGGAGGAAAAACGGGUAUUACUUUCUCAUAACAUUUGAUAUCAUAAUGGUGUUGUUGCUUAGCAACCAAAUAUAUUUGAAUAUAAAAAAUAGAUUAUUUUAGAUUUUAACAGUAAAGAUCUUUGUUUUAAUGUUGUAAUAUUUAUACUAUUUAGUGAAACAUAAUGGCAAAACGUCAUAUUAUUAGAAAAUGAUGAAGACGUAUAUGAAGUACGAAAUUUCCAUUUUAUGACCUUUGACCUUCAUUUCCUUCAUUCCAUGUUUUUGUUAAAAACCUUUUAAAAUGAUUGAGAUCUAGUCAAAGAUUAUAUUUUUAAAAUAAUGUGACAUUUACUAAUCAUCAUGCAAUGCAAUCAUGUUUAAAUUGUGUCGAAUGGAUGUAGAAAGGCAAAUUAUGGUUAAAAUUACACAAUGAGUGCUGUUACUUAGCAACCAAAAAUAUUUGUUUUUCAAUAAAAUUAAUUAAUUUGAUUGUGAUGUUUUUGUAGUACUUUAAAAGACACAUCAGCUCAUACAUUUAGAAUUUCCUAUUUUUGACUUGAAUAUAGUGAGUAGGGUCGUAAUAUAUAUAUUCCAGAGAAAAAAAAUUAGCAAAAAUGUGCACUUAAAUGACCUUUGAUCCCGUAUAACUCUUUGGGGUCAUGGGAUAACAUGACAAACGUUAUUAAAAAAAUGUUUCCUAUCCAAUUCGUAACAAAAUUAAAUGUCACAUGCCUACCUAAAAUCGUGAUACAUGUAAAGGUAACUCGAUUUAAAAAUAUUGUCAUUUAGUCUUUAAAAACCUCUAAAAUGUGCCGGUAGAGAAAGGGUUAACCCGGUUUGAUGUUGCAUCUGUCUCUAUACAUCGCUAGUUAUAUAAAAAGAACGAAUACCAGAUGAUAGCAAAAAUAAUCUUUCGGGCUUUGAAAUGACUGUAGAUUUAUAUAUUUUUGUACCUUUUCAGUGAGGAAAUUUCUACAAAAUAACGGUAAAGUAAUAGAUUAAUUCAAUUUCAACAUGAAUGCGAGAGAAGAUCUUGGAAAUUCAGUCAGCUUCAUGUAAUAUUUGCUAAUGACCAGACAUACAUCGUGCUAGGAUUGGAUAUGUACGAAGUCACGAUCAAUUAUUAAUAUUUCUUCAUUAUCCUGAUUGAUAUUUGUAAAUAUUUAAAGAUUAUAAAAGUAAUGAAUAGAAACAUUUUUCUUAUUAUUUAAGGAAUGACUUUAAUUCUGGCGCAAGUUGUACGAGUAUAACCUAGUUUGGGUCAGUUGAAACUUUAUUAAACAAGCGUAAACUAGGUUAUACUCGUAUAAUUUGUCCCAUAAUUAAAGUGAUUCCUCAUAAUUUAAUGAAAGAGACAAAGAUACUAACAUUCGUUUAUAAAAAUGUACAUUAACUUAGAAAAAUACAAGUCGACUGAGCCGCUCAAUGAUUCACUUCGCAACAACGAGAAAGCAUCUACCUGUGAAGGUCGCCAUCUUUAAUCUUAGUUCUACGGAGCCUAAUCUAUUUAUCAAAAUAUUUUAUCGAAUGUGAAGUUUGACAUGAUAGAAAAUAUCUUUAGACUAUGCAUGCAAUGCGUAUUUCGCUGCCCUAUAGAGAUAGAGAUCGACUUUGAAGUCGCUCAUCUCCGACAGAUUGAGAAAAUACGGGAAAUUUGCAUUGUUUAGGCCUACCCAAAAUCAAUCUUCAAAUAUCAGAAAAUGCAAUAAUUUGCGGCUUUUAACUCUGUGAAAACAUUUACUAAAUGAAAACUUACCAUUGCACGCAACAUUGUUGCUAAUAGUAAAUCCGACACACAAAAAUAUUUAUAAGCAAGUGACAAAUUGCGAUCCACACGUCAAGAUGACUGACGUCAUGUGAUAAAAUCUGACGUAUGCAUUUUGCUUGCUUUGUUGAAAGACGGAUGAAGCAAUGAAACACCCCCCCCCCCCUCUCUUGAGAAAUAUAUUUCCAAAGGAAUAGGGCAAUGCUUACUUGGUAAAUUAUUAAUUCGAAUAUAAUAUCUUUGUUUUAAUCUUAUUAUUCGUUAUUCGACCAUCAUACAGAGAAAGAUGUUUUACAACAGCAUACAAGUAGAUAUUAAUAUUGACAACGAGAAAACAAUAUGUGCAUCAAAUCGAAGAAACGUAUUGUACAUGUUGACGUUCACAGUGCUGCGAUGUAAAGUUAGAGGGAGAGAGAGAGAGAGAGAGAGAGAG